UACGUAGGGGGCAAGCGUUGUCCGGAUUUAUUGGGCGUAAAGGGCGCGUAGGCGGCCUCAUAAGUCAGAUGUGAAAGCCCUUGGCUUAACCAAGGAAUUGCAUCUGAAACUGCGAGGCUUGAGUCCGGGAAGGGAGAGUGGAAUUCCCAGUGUAGCGGUGAAAUGCGUAGAUAUUGGGAGGAACACCGGUGGCGAAGGCGGCUCUCUGGACCGGUACUGACGCUGAUGCGCGAAAGCUAGGGGAGCAAACGGG
rnacentral:rRNA from 1 species